rnacentral:rRNA from 1 species
GACGAACGCUGGCGGCGUGCUUAACACAUGCAAGUCGAACGGAAAGGCCCCUUCGGGGGUACUCGAGUGGCGAACAGGUGAGUAACACGUGAGUAGCCUGCCCUUGACUUCGGGAUAACUUCAGGAAACUGGGGCUAAUACCGGAUAGGAAUCCUUGCUGCAUGGUGGGGGUUGGAAAGCUUCGGCGGUUUUGGAUGGACUCGCGGCUUAUCAGCUUGUUGGUGGGGUAGUGGCUUACCAAGGCUUUGACGGGUAGCCGGCCUGAGAGGGCGACCGGCCACAUUGGGACUGAGAUACGGCCCAGACUCCUACGGGAGGCAGCAGUGGGGAAUAUUGCACAAUGGGCGGAAGCCUGAUGCAGCAACGCCGCGUGCGGGAUGACGGCCUUCGGGUUGUAAACCGCUUUCAGCAGGGGCGAAGCUUGUGGUGACGGUACCUGCAGAAGAAGCACCGGCUAACUACGU